rnacentral:misc_RNA from 1 species
GGAUGACACUGAGGAAAAAGUAAGACCACAAUCUGCAUAUGCUUACAUGAACACUCAUGUACAAUUAUAUUUUACCUUUGUUUCUUAUUGCUCAUUGUUCCAUUUCUUUUACAUACUUUUGAAGACCAUAUGCAGAGAUCAAUUCAAUCAACUGAAUGACCACAUUCUUCAUCUGUAGUUGAGCUAUAUAUUCAUACAAUACUUAUUAAAUAAAGAUUAAUUUAAUAAUCCAGCCAUAACUCCAGGCAUGCUAGAGGAACAGAAUCAACAUAUGUGAUACAGAUAGUUCUCAUGACUUAUCAAAUGCACCACCUUCUCCUUUUUGCAUUUUAGAAGGCUUGGUUUUUUAAUAUGUGUAAUAACUCACCAAAACAAAAUUUUAACUGAAUUAUGGUAAGAUCUGCUCAAAGACAUAUUUGCUUAUGUUGAAAAAGGCUUAAGAAACUCCGCCUAACUAGUUUGCGCUUAGCCGGUCCCA